AUAAAGACUUCAAACAUGAUGCUUCUAAAUUAAUAUUUGCACGGUGGCAAGCUCAAUUAGCCCCGUUUGAUUAUGAAAUACAGUAUAAAAGGGGUAGUGAAAAUUCUCUGCCUGAUUUUUUAUCUAGAGAAUAUCUUUUAUGAGUUUUUACACAUAUUUCCUCUCUGAAAAAAUUAUAAUAACUAUUAUCAAAUGCAUUCCUUUGAAUGAAGAUAUUCAUUUUCUGAUCUUAGAAACUCUAAUUCAUCGUUUAAUAGCAGAAGAAUUUGAAAAUCACAAUGAAUUCAUUGACAACGAAAUCUAUUGGUUUGACAUUGACUUAAGUGAUUAAUGUUUACAGAUAUCAUGAAACUCUUUCUACACUUCUUCUCUGAAAAGUUCUUACUCACCUUUAUAAAGGCAGUUCCUCUGAAUAUGGAUUUACACAUGCUCAUAUUACGGAAAGUUAUUGACGAUCUUAUUACAAAAGAUACAUUUUAUGAAGAUCUCGUCGAAUAUAUGCAAUUUGCCCCGUUUGAUUAUGAAAUACAAUAUAAAAAGGGUAGUGAAAAUUCUUUGCCUGAUUUUUUUAUCUAGAGAGUAUCUGAUAUGAGUUUUUACACAUAUUUUUUCUCUGAAAAAAUUAUAAUAACUAUUAUUAAAUGCAUUCCUUUAAAUGAAGAUAUUCAUUUUCUUAUCUUAGAAACUUUAAUUCAUCGCUUAAUAGAAGAAGAAUUUUUCCUUAACCACAACGAAUUCAUUGAUGACGAAAUCUAUUGGUUUGAUAUUGACUUAAGUGAUUAAUGCUUACAGAUCUAAUGAAGUUCUUUCUACACUUCUUCUCUGCAAAGUUCUUACUCACCUUUAUAAAGGCAGUUCCUCUAAAUAUGGAUUUACACAUGCUCAUACUACGGAAAGUCAUUGACGACCUUAUCACAAAGGAUACACUUUAUGAAGAUCUCN
rnacentral:lncRNA from 1 species